UACGUAGGUGGCAAGCGAUAUCUCGGAAUCACUAGGCGUAAAGCGCAGGUAGGCGGUUUGGUAAGUCUUUUGUGAAAGCUCCUGGCUCAACUGGGAAGAGGUCAAAGGAAAACUACCGGACUAGAGUGUGGUAGGGGAUACUGGAAUUCCUGGUGUAGCGGUGAAAUGCGUAGAUAUCGGGAGGAACACCGGUGGCGAAGGCGGGUCUCUGGGCAGUAACUGACGCUGAGGAGCGAAAGCGUGGGGAGGCGA
rnacentral:rRNA from 1 species